rnacentral:ncRNA from 1 species
CCUGCAAUUCCGUUUGCAGUAGUCUGAGAGUACAUGCAUUGGGAGUAAUUCCUUUGUGUGAAGCUGCUCUGACAAAGUACCCUCUCCGAAAGGAAUAGACCGAAGCGUGAGUGGAGGUUAAGGCAGAUAGCAUCAUUCUGUCGAGGG